GUUAUCGUUUAUUUGAUAGUACCUUACUACUUGGAUAACCGUGGUAAUUCUAGAGUUAAUACAUGCUGAAAACCCCAACUUCGGGAGGGGUGUAUUUAUUAGAUAAAAAACCAACGCCCUUCGGGGCUUCUUGGUGAUUCAUGAUAACUUCACGGAUCGCAUGGCCUUGCGCCGGCGACGGUUCAUUCAAAUUUCUGCCCUAUCAACUUUCGAUGGUAAGGUAUUGGCUUACCAUGGUUUCAACGGGUAACGGGGAAUUAGGGUUCGAUUCCGGAGAGGGAGCCUGAGAAACGGCUACCACAUCCAAGGAAGGCAGCAGGCGCGCAAAUUACCCAAUCCCGACACGGGGAGGUAGUGACAAUAAAUACUGAUACAGGGCUCUUUUGGGUCUUGUAAUUGGAAUGAGUACAAUUUAAACCUCUUAACGAGGAACAAUUGGAGGGCAAGUCUGGUGCCAGCAGCCGCGGUAAUUCCAGCUCCAAUAGCGUAUAUUAAAGUUGUUGCAGUUAAAAAGCUCGUAGUUGAAACUUGG
rnacentral:rRNA from 1 species